CACUUAGCCCUAGCCAUUACACUGGCUACAAGUGUUCCUGACCUUGUUCAUAGUAGGGUGAUUGAUCUAAAGCUACAACCCAAACCAAUACCGCAACCUGAACCAAAGCCUGCACCACAACCAGACCCAAAGCCAGAACCCAAGCCAACACCGCAGCCUGACCCAAAACCCACACCACAACCAGACCCAAAGCCAGAACCCAAGCCGGCACCACAGCCUGAACCAAAGCCCGCACCACAACCAGAUCCAAAGCCAGAACCUAAACCGACACCGCAACCAAAACCAAAACCUACACCACAACCAGACCCACAACCAGAACCAAAACCCACACCACAACCAGACCCAAAACCGGAACCUAAACCCACACCACAACCAGAUCCAAAGCCCGAGCCAAAACCAACACCACAGCCACCCUCCUCGCAACCUGAACCAAAGCCCGAGCCUGAGCCAAGCCCCAAACCUACGCCAGAACCUAAACCUCAGCUGGAGCCUCAACCAAGCCCAAAACCCCAACCUGAAC
rnacentral:lncRNA from 1 species